AACGAACGCUGGCGGCGUGCCUAACACAUGCAAGUCGAACGCGAAAGUCCUUCGGGACGAGUAGAGUGGCGCACGGGUGAGUAACGCGUGGGUAAUCUACCCCCGAGAUUGGAACAACCUUCCGAAAGGAGGGCACAUUCCAAAUAACACUUUAGAGCCGAAAGUCUUGGAAGACAAAGGUGACCACUUCUUGAAAGUUAUCGCUUGAGGAUGAGCCUGCGUCCCAUUAGCUAGUUGGUGGGGUAAUGGCUUACCAAGGCGAAGAUGGGUAGCUGGUCUUAAAGGACGAUCAGCCACACUGGAACUGAAACACGGUCCAGACUCCUACGGGAGGCAGCAGUGGGGAAUUUUGCGCAAUGGAGGAAACUCUGACGCAGCAACGCCGCGUGGGGGACGAAGGCCUUUGGGUCGUAAACCCCUGUCUAGAGGGAAAAAACGGUAGACGUCAAAUAGGCGUUUGCCUUGAUGGUACUUCUGGAGGAAGCAUCGGCUAACUACGUGCCAGCCGCCGCGGUAA
rnacentral:rRNA from 1 species